AAGUCGACGCACAGCGAAAGGUGCUUGCACCUUUCAAGUGAGUGGCGAACGGGUGAGUAACACGUGGACAACCUGCCUCAAGGCUGGGGAUAACAUUUGGAAACAGAUGCUAAUACCGAAUAAAACUUAGUGUCGCAUGACACAAAGUUAAAAGGCGCUUCGGCGUCACCUAGAGAUGGAUCCGCGGUGCAUUAGUUAGUUGGUGGGGUAAAGGCCUACCAAGACAAUGAUGCAUAGCCGAGUUGAGAGACUGAUCGGCCACAUUGGGACUGAGACACGGCCCAAACUCCUACGGGAGGCUGCAGUAGGGAAUCUUCCACAAUGGGCGAAAGCCUGAUGGAGCAACGCCGCGUGUGUGAUGAAGGCUUUCGGGUCGUAAAGCACUGUUGUAUGGGAAGAACAGCUAGAAUAGGAAAUGAUUUUAGUUUGACGGUACCAUACCAGAAAGGGACGGCUAAAUACGUGCCAGCAGCCGCGGUAAUACGUAUGUCCCGAGCGUUAUCCGGAUUUAUUGGGCGUAAAGCGAGCGCAGACGGUUUAUUAAGUCUGAUGUGAAAGCCCGGAGCUCAACUCCGGAAUGGCAUUGGAAACUGGUUAACUUGAGUGCAGUAGAGGUAAGUGGAACUCCAUGUGUAGCGGUGGAAUGCGUAGAUAUAUGGAAGAACACCAGUGGCGAAGGCGGCUUACUGGACUGCAACUGACGUUGAGGCUCGAAAGUGUGGGUAGCAAACAGGAUUAGAUACCCUGGUAGUCCACACCGUAAACGAUGAACACUAGGUGUUAGGAGGUUUCCGCCUCUUAGUGCCGAAGCUAACGCAUUAAGUGUUCCGCCUGGGGAGUACGACCGCAAGGUUGAAACUCAAAGGAAUUGACGGGGACCC
rnacentral:rRNA from 1 species